UGGCGGCGUGCUUAACACAUGCAAGUCGAACGGUGACCAGGGCUUGCCCUGGUGAUCAGUGGCGAACGGGUGAGUAACACGUGGGCAACCUGCCCCUGACUUCGGGAUAACUCCUCGAAAGAGGAGCUAAUACCGGAUACGACCACUUCGGACAUCCGAUGGUGGUGGAAAGUUUUUCGGUCAGGGAUGGGCCCGCGGCCUAUCAGCUAGUUGGUGGGGUAAUGGCCUACCAAGGCGACGACGGGUAGCCGGCCUGAGAGGGCGACCGGCCACACUGGGACUGAGACACGGCCCAGACUCCUACGGGAGGCAGCAGUGGGGAAUAUUGCGCAAUGGGCGAAAGCCUGACGCAGCGACGCCGCGUGAGGGAUGAAGGCCUUCGGGUUGUAAACCUCUUUCAGCAGGGACGAAGCGAAAGUGACGGUACCUGCAGAAGAAGCACCGGCUAACUACGUG
rnacentral:rRNA from 1 species